AGCUCGGCUGGCUCGCCGCGGCUUCACCACUCGGAACAGGCUCAGUCGCUUCGCGCGCGUCGUACCGCAUGUGCACUCUCUGUCCGUGGUCGUGCCGAUCGUGAGAAAACAGCGACUCCCGCGAUCGUUUCGUGCGGCGAUUGUUUAUUAAACUUCUCUUGUUCGACAGUGAAUUGCGCGAGGUUUUCCACGGCGGGCGUGCUUCACUGAUUGGUGCUCCGUAAUUUCAUCGAGUUUCGGGAGUUUUCUCGCGAACCAUCCGGCUCGGCCCACCGGCUCAGGUGCGGUGCUGGUGAAUCAGACGGUUCAGAAGGAGAAAGGUUAUCGGCUUCCGUUCUGAAAAACGUUCGACGCCGCGAAAGUGGAGCGGCUACGGGAGAUCCGGUUUCGGAAGGUCGGAAAAAUAUGAGCAUCUCGUAAAGUCGGUUGAAGUGCAGCUUUCAGACCACGAAGGGAGACACCAUGGAGACCGAAGAACUCACUAGGCUCGUAGAUGAGAUCUACAAGAACAUCCUGGACAAGUUCAAUCCGGGAGCGAGGCAGCUGAUCACCGCCGGCAAAGCAUAUUUGAAGGCCCUUCAUGGUGCCGCAGCCGCAUCCCGUGUCUACGUGGACGCAUUGUCUCGAUUAGCACGCCAGGCGCAACUGGGGACAUGGGGUGGUUCCAAGGAUGUCGGUAAGU